rnacentral:rRNA from 1 species
GAACGCUGGCGGCGUGCUUAACACAUGCAAGUCGAACGAGACGAUUUAGAAGCUUGCUUUUAUUGAGUCGAGUGGCAAACGGGUGAGUAACGCGUAUCCAACCUUCCCGUUGCUAGGGGAUAACCUUGCGAAAGUAAGACUAAUACCCUAUGAGGUUCUUCGCAGACAUCUAAAGAGAACGAAAGAUUUAUCGGCAACGGAUGGGGAUGCGUCUGAUUAGGUUGUUGGCGGGGUAACGGCCCACCAAGCCCACGAUCAGUAGGGGUUCUGAGAGGAAGGUCCCCCACAUUGGAACUGAGACACGGUCCAAACUCCUACGGGAGGCAGCAGUGAGGAAUAUUGGUCAAUGGGCGAGAGCCUGAACCAGCCAAGUAGCGUGCAGGAUGACGGCCCUAUGGGUUGUAAACUGCUUUUAUAAGGGAAUAAAGUGAGCCUCGUGAGGCUUUUUGCAUGUACCUUAUGAAUAAGGACCGGCUAAUUCCGUG